UAUCUACUCCCUCCGUCCGAAAAUACUUGUCGCACAAAUGGAUAAAAAUGGAUGCAUCUAAAACUGAAAUAUGACUAGAUACAUCCAUUCCUCCGACAAGUAUUUCUGGACGGAGGGAGUAUAUU
rfam:Triticum aestivum genome assembly, contig: Triticum_aestivum_CS42_TGACv1_scaffold_343463_4DL